rnacentral:tRNA from 2 species
GCUGAAGUGGCGGAAUUGGCAGACGCGCCAGGUUCAGGACCUGGUCCCGAUUUAUCGGGAUAGGGGUUCAAGUCCCCUCUUCAGCACCA